UACAGAGGUCUCAAGCGUUGUUCGGAUUCAUUGGGCGUAAAGGGUGCGUAGGUGGCGCUGUAAGUCGGGUGUGAAAUUUCGGAGCUUAACUCCGAAACUGCAUUCGAUACUGCGGUGCUUGAGGACUGGAGAGGAGACUGGAAUUCCUGGUGUAGCGGUGAAAUGCGCAGAUAUCAGGAGGAACACCGGUGGCGAAGGCGGUUCUCUGGGCAUUACCUGACGCUGAGGAGCGAAAGUGUGGGGAGCGAACAGG
rnacentral:rRNA from 1 species